AUGACCCUGCUGGAGUGCGGGGUCACCUCCAGCCGCCGGGGGGUCCCUGCGCCUCCUCUGCCGAGGGUUCGGGUUCAGUUUCGGAAGUAUUGCCAUGCAGUGGGACCGACAGAGACCCGGAGCCCUGGGAACACGCUGGAGUGGCUCUCUGGGAUCUACGGCAAUGGUGUCAGCACCGACUAUGCGCCAUCAGUCAAGGGCCGGGUCAGGAUCUCCAGGAACAAUGAGCAGAACUCAUAUGCUCAGGAUGAGGUGUCCAAAUUUGGGGAUGGGCUCCGGGCGGCCGUGACCCUGCUGGAGUGCGGGGGAGACCUCCAGCGCCCCGGGGGGUCCCUGCGCCUCCUCUGCCGAGGGUCCGGGUUCAGUUUUGGCCAAUUUGGGCUGGGCUGGAUCCGCCAGAGACCCGGGCAGGGGCUGGAGUGGCUCGCGGGGAUCACCAACACUGGUGGAAACAUCGGCUACGCGCCAUCGGUCAAGGGUCGGUUCAGGAUCUCCAGGGACAACGGGCAGAGCUCGGUGACGCUGACCAUGAACAACCUCAAGGACGAGGAUUCCGGAUCCUAUUUCUGUGCCAGGGCUUUUUGUGCUGAUCUUGACCCUUUGUCCCUAUUUGCAUGA